rnacentral:rRNA from 1 species
ACAAGCAGCGGAGCGUGUGGUUUAAUUCGAGGCUACACGAAGAACCUUACCAGGGUUUGACAUGCAAGUGGUAGGAAUCCGAAAGGUGACCGACCCUUCGGGGAGCUUGCACAGGUGCUGCAUGGCUGUCGUCAGCUCGUGUCGUGAGAUGUUCGGUUAAGUCCGCUAACGAGCGCAACCCUCGUCGUGUGUUAUACGUGUCACACGAUACUGCCGGUAUCAAGCCGGAGGAAGUGGGGAUGAUGUCAAGUCAGCAUGGCCUUUAUAUCCUGGGCUACACACACGCUACAAUGGCAGAUACAAUAGGUUGCGAAACCGCGAGGUGGAGCCAAUCCUCAAAGUCUGUCUCAGUUCAGAUUGUAGGCUGCAACUCGCCUGCAUGAAGUUGGAGUUGCUAGUAAACGUGGAUCAGCAUGUCACGGUGAAUACGUUCCCGGGUCUU